rnacentral:snoRNA from 1 species
AGCCUCAUUCUACAUGCAUGUGAGCUCCUGACAUCCAGGGAAUAUAGAUGAAUAUGGCCACAAUGACCCACUGAUCAUGCUUCCAUCACAGCAGGCUCAUUGCCAUGGUGACAAAUGAGACCUGUGACAUGU